rnacentral:rRNA from 1 species
GACGACUGCGGUAGACUGACGGAGCAUACCGCGUGAGGGACGAAAGCCUUUGGGUUGUAAACCUCUUUUUUCAGGGAGGAAGUUCUGACGUGUACCUGAAGAAUAAGCAUCGGCUAACUCCGUGCCAGCAGCCGCGGUAAGACGGAGGAUGCAAGUGUUAUCCGGAAUUAUUGGGCGUAAAGCGUCUGUAGGUGGCUUAUUAAGUCUACUGUUAAAUAUUAAAGCUUAACUUUAAACUUGCAGUGGAAACUGAUAAGCUUGAGUACGGUCGAAGUAAAAGGAAUUUCCAGUGAAGCGGUGAAAUGCGUAAAUAUUGGAAGGAACACCGAUGGCGAAGGCAUUUUACUAGGCCCUUACUGACACUGAGAGACGAAAGCUAGGGUAGCAAAUGGGAUUAGAUACCCCAGUAGUCA